UACGGAGGGUGCGAGCGUUGUCCGGAAUCACUGGGCGUAAAGGGCGCGUAGGUGGCCCGUUAAGUGGUCGGUGAAAUCCCGGGGCUCAACUCCGGGGCUGCCGAUCAGACUGGCGAGCUAGAGCACGGUAGGGGCAGAUGGAAUUCCCGGUGUAGCGGUGGAAUGCGUAGAGAUCGGGAGGAAGACCGGUGGCGAAGGCGGGUCUCUGGGCCGAUACUGACGCUGAGGAGCGAAAGCGUGGGGAGCGAACAGG
rnacentral:rRNA from 1 species